rnacentral:tRNA from 1 species
CGCCGGGGUGAUCAGGCCGAUCAGAUGGGCGCUCACGUCGGCCAGGAGGGUCGAGGGUUCGACCCUCACCCCGGCCAC